AACAGCCGGGAAAGUAGCAGCUCCGGCAAGUCAAGGUGGAGCAACAGCGGCCGCCGGAGUCGGAGUGGGUCGGAGGACGGGAGCCCAUAACAUAAACGGCGACGUAACGGAAGAGGAUAAUUAGUGGAUUAAUCUGUGAUUAAUUUGGAAAAGAGGCUUUAAUUAAUUAUUCCGGAUUAAUUAAGCUGAGCGCGUGCCGCGGAGUGAGUUUUGUUUGCACAGAAAAUUAUGUGAUCAAUGUGCAAUGAUAUGGAAAUUUGGGGGCCUCGUUUCUUACAAAUUUUACCCAUUCAAAUAGAAUCACAGCUUCUAGUAAAAUGGAAAUUAUUUUGCAGAGGGCUUUUAUACCCAUGGAUUUUUACCAUUUUAGUGUACGGACUGCUCUAUUUGUUUGGUAAAAUAUUGUUAAAAUAUUAUCAUAUUUGGCUCUAAAAGAAUAUAAUAAUAUUAAUAAUAUAUAAAAAGUCUAUGUAAGAAAAAGGAUAAAUUCGGGUGCGUGAUUUUAC
rnacentral:lncRNA from 1 species